GCGUUGAUAGCAUAGUGGUCUUAUUGCAACUGAUUGCAAGAAUGUGUUGCUUCAAAACAACACCUUCAAUUAUCAGUAGGUCCCCGGUUCGACUCCGGGUCAACGCU